GGGUUGUGAGGUUAAGCGACUAAGCGUACACGGUGGAUGCCCUGGCAGUCAGAGGCGAUGAAGGACGUGCUAAUCUGCGAUAAGCGUCGGUAAGGUGAUAUGAACCGUUAUAACCGGCGAUUUCCGAAUGGGGAAACCCAGUGUGUUUCGACACACUAUCAUUAACUGAAUCCAUAGGUUAAUGAGGCGAACCGGGGGAACUGAAACAUCUAAGUACCCCGAGGAAAAGAAAUCAACCGAGAUUCCCCCAGUAGCGGCGAGCGAACGGGGAGCAGCCCAGAGCCUGAAUCAGUGUGUGUGUUAGUGGAAGCGUCUGGAAAGGCGCGCGAUACAGGGUGACAGCCCCGUACACAAAAAUGCACAUGCUGUGAGCUCGAUGAGUAGGGCGGGACACGUGGUAUCCUGUCUGAAUAUGGGGGGACCAUCCUCCAAGGCUAAAUACUCCUGACUGACCGAUAGUGAACCAGUACCGUGAGGGAAAGGCGAAAAGAACCCCGGCGAGGGGAGUGAAAAAGAACCUGAAACCGUGUACGUACAAGCAGUGGGAGCACGCUUAGGCGUGUGACUGCGUACCUUUUGUAUAAUGGGUCAGCGACUUAUAUUCUGUAGCAAGGUUAACCGAAUAGGGGAGCCGAAGGGAAACCGAGUCUUAACUGGGCGUUAAGUUGCAGGGUAUAGACCCGAAACCCGGUGAUCUAGCCAUGGGCAGGUUGAAGGUUGGGUAACACUAACUGGAGGACCGAACCGACUAAUGUUGAAAAAUUAGCGGAUGACUUGUGGCUGGGGGUGAAAGGCCAAUCAAACCGGGAGAUAGCUGGUUCUCCCCGAAAGCUAUUUAGGUAGCGCCUCGUGAAUUCAUCUCCGGGGGUAGAGCACUGUUUCGGCAAGGGGGUCAUCCCGACUUACCAACCCGAUGCAAACUGCGAAUACCGGAGAAUGUUAUCACGGGAGACACACGGCGGGUGCUAACGUCCGUCGUGAAGAGGGAAACAACCCAGACCGCCAGCUAAGGUCCCAAAGUCAUGGUUAAGUGGGAAACGAUGUGGGAAGGCCCAGACAGCCAGGAUGUUGGCUUAGAAGCAGCCAUCAUUUAAAGAAAGCGUAAUAGCUCACUGGUCGAGUCGGCCUGCGCGGAAGAUGUAACGGGGCUAAACCAUGCACCGAAGCUGCGGCAGCGACGCUGAUGCGUUGUUGGGUAGGGGAGCGUUCUGUAAGCCUGUGAAGGUGUACUGUGAGGUAUGCUGGAGGUAUCAGAAGUGCGAAUGCUGACAUAAGUAACGAUAAAGCGGGUGAAAAGCCCGCUCGCCGGAAGACCAAGGGUUCCUGUCCAACGUUAAUCGGGGCAGGGUGAGUCGACCCCUAAGGCGAGGCCGAAAGGCGUAGUCGAUGGGAAACAGGUUAAUAUUCCUGUACUUGGUGUUACUGCGAAGGGGGGACGGAGAAGGCUAUGUUGGCCGGGCGACGGUUGUCCCGGUUUAAGCGUGUAGGCUGGUUUUCCAGGCAAAUCCGGAAAAUCAAGGCUGAGGCGUGAUGACGAGGCACUACGGUGCUGAAGCAACAAAUGCCCUGCUUCCAGGAAAAGCCUCUAAGCAUCAGGUAACAUCAAAUCGUACCCCAAACCGACACAGGUGGUCAGGUAGAGAAUACCAAGGCGCUUGAGAGAACUCGGGUGAAGGAACUAGGCAAAAUGGUGCCGUAACUUCGGGAGAAGGCACGCUGAUAUGUAGGUGAGGUCCCUCGCGGAUGGAGCUGAAAUCAGUCGAAGAUACCAGCUGGCUGCAACUGUUUAUUAAAAACACAGCACUGUGCAAACACGAAAGUGGACGUAUACGGUGUGACGCCUGCCCGGUGCCGGAAGGUUAAUUGAUGGGGUUAGCGCAAGCGAAGCUCUUGAUCGAAGCCCCGGUAAACGGCGGCCGUAACUAUAACGGUCCUAAGGUAGCGAAAUUCCUUGUCGGGUAAGUUCCGACCUGCACGAAUGGCGUAAUGAUGGCCAGGCUGUCUCCACCCGAGACUCAGUGAAAUUGAACUCGCUGUGAAGAUGCAGUGUACCCGCGGCAAGACGGAAAGACCCCGUGAACCUUUACUAUAGCUUGACACUGAACAUUGAGCCUUGAUGUGUAGGAUAGGUGGGAGGCUUAGAAGUGUGGACGCCAGUCUGCAUGGAGCCGACCUUGAAAUACCACCCUUUAAUGUUUGAUGUUCUAACGUUGACCCGUAAUCCGGGUUGCGGACAGUGUCUGGUGGGUAGUUUGACUGGGGCGGUCUCCUCCUAAAGAGUAACGGAGGAGCACGAAGGUUGGCUAAUCCUGGUCGGACAUCAGGAGGUUAGUGCAAUGGCAUAAGCCAGCUUGACUGCGAGCGUGACGGCGCGAGCAGGUGCGAAAGCAGGUCAUAGUGAUCCGGUGGUUCUGAAUGGAAGGGCCAUCGCUCAACGGAUAAAAGGUACUCCGGGGAUAACAGGCUGAUACCGCCCAAGAGUUCAUAUCGACGGCGGUGUUUGGCACCUCGAUGUCGGCUCAUCACAUCCUGGGGCUGAAGUAGGUCCCAAGGGUAUGGCUGUUCGCCAUUUAAAGUGGUACGCGAGCUGGGUUUAGAACGUCGUGAGACAGUUCGGUCCCUAUCUGCCGUGGGCGCUGGAGAACUGAGGGGGGCUGCUCCUAGUACGAGAGGACCGGAGUGGACGCAUCACUGGUGUUCGGGUUGUCAUGCCAAUGGCACUGCCCGGUAGCUAAAUGCGGAAGAGAUAAGUGCUGAAAGCAUCUAAGCACGAAACUUGCCCCGAGAUGAGUUCUCCCUGACUCCUUGAGAGUCCUGAAGGAACGUUGAAGACGACGACGUUGAUAGGCCGGGUGUGUAAGCGCAGCGAUGCGUUGAGCUAACCGGUACUAAUGAACCGUGAGGCUUAACCUUACAACGCCGAAGGUGUUU
rnacentral:rRNA from 1 species